UACAGAGGGUGCGAGCGUUAAUCGGAAUUACUGGGCGUAAAGCGCGCGUAGGUGGCCUUCUAAGUCGAACGUGAAAUCCCUGGGCUCAACCCAGGAACUGCGUCCGAUACUGGAAGGCUUGAAUCCGGGAGAGGGAUGCGGAAUUCCAGGUGUAGCGGUGAAAUGCGUAGAUAUCUGGAGGAACACCGGUGGCGAAGGCGGCAUCCUGGACCGGCAUUGACGCUGAGGCGCGAAAGCUAGGGGAGCAAACGGG
rnacentral:rRNA from 1 species